AUGAAAAAUAAUUAAAGAAUUAAUUAUAUAUUUAUACAAUAUACAUUUAAACAAUGUUACAUUCACUUUUAAAAAUACUCUGUAAGUUUUUAAAAGCUCUUUUUGAUUUACAGCUAGAAAGUUUAUCGAUAUGGAAAGUGGCUACUAUUAGGUCCGACCGUAUGGUGUAUUUGCGGACAAAAAACAUGCUAAAAUCCAUAGCCAUUGGAUUGUCACACUUGGCACGGACGGAUGAGAUUGAAGUGCAACUCAAGUGUGAAAAUUUGGCCCAAAUCUCCCUUCCUGCCUCGGUCAGCCGCUGCCAAAAUUCCCCAAAUCCAACCCUACCAAAAUUUCCUGUUUUACUCCCAAUCUACCUUCCUCUUCUACUCUUCUACCAAAGUUCUUGUCUGUCUUAGGACUCUGCACUUAUCAACCCGAAAUCAAGAAUGGACGCCGACGAUGAUGGCGAUGACGGGAAUGGGCACGGGCGAUCUUCCCGAAAAAUGACUCCAUUUGGGUUCGACGCGAGACAAACUUGAAGAUUACCCAUUAAUAUAAACCCAAUUGCUGGAGACUAGAAUAUAGCGUUAGAAUAAAGCUACCUAGAAACCCAAAAAAUAAAUGCCAAAUAAUACAGAGAAAUUGAGAUGGGGAAGAAGAAAGGUUAUGGCUUUAGGAAUGGAAUUGGGGGAAAAUCCAUGUAUAGUAUGAGAAAAUAAAAUCCCAAAAGUGAGAGCUAUUUUAGGUUUAGAUUUAUUUUUGGUUCUGAUUCUAUGUUUUUUUUUUUUUUUUUUUUUUGCUUACCCAAAAACCCACCAAGGCUUGGGGCUUACUGGAACGGUGGGAAUCUUGAUCUUGAAGCUUGUUGAAGCAGGGUAUUUGGGAGCCCAAAUGGUGGAUGGUUACUGGUUGCCAGAACAGUGGAAGCAAAGGAGAAGAUGAAGGGUAGGAAAAGCUGUGCGGCAUGUGAGAGAGCUUUUUUGGAAGGGAAAUUAUGAAUGUAAUCUAGACCCUUGAGUUUAAUCUGAAGGCCAGGAUUAAAAGCAUAUUUUUGGACCGUAUAUAAAACUAUCAAGACCGACCUUAUUGUAGCCCCUCCCUUUCGAUAUGUACAGAUUAUAACUUUGUCUACUAGUAUAAAUUUAUUAUGGUAUCCAAUUAAUUAAUAUACUUUUUUCUUCAUAAAA